rnacentral:rRNA from 1 species
AGGACGAACGCUGGCGGCGUGCUUCAUACAUGCAAGUCGAACGAUAAGGGUCUCUUCGGAGAUACAUAAGUGGCGGACGGGUGAGUAAAAAUGUAGAGAAUCUGGCCCUAGAGUGGGGGACAACAGUUGGAAACGACUGCUAAUACCGGCAUAUGAGCGUAGCUGAAAUGCUAUUCUUGAAAAACUCCGGUGCUCUGGGAUGAGUCUGCAUCUGAUUAGCUAGUUGGGGGUGUAAUGGACCACCAAGGCGACGAUCAGUAGCUGGUUUGAGAGGAUGAUCAGCCACAAUGGGACUGAGACACGGCCCAUACUCCUACGGGAGGCAGCAGUAGGGAAUUUUGCGCAAUGGGGGAAACCCUGAACCGCAGCAACGCCGCGUGACCGAUGAAGCCCUUCGGGGUGUAAAGGUCUGUCAGUGGGGACGAAACUUGACGGUACCCACAGAGGAAGCAUCGGCUAACUCCGUGCCAGCAGCCGC